rnacentral:rRNA from 1 species
AACGAACGCUGGCGGCAUGCCUAACACAUGCAAGUCGAACGAGACCUUCGGGUCUAGUGGCGCACGGGUGCGUAACGCGUGGGAAUCUGCCCUUGGGUUCGGAAUAACAGCGAGAAAUUGCUGCUAAUACCGGAUGAUGACGUAAGUCCAAAGAUUUAUCGCCCAAGGAUGAGCCCGCGUAGGAUUAGCUAGUUGGUGAGGUAAAGGCUCACCAAGGCGACGAUCCUUAGCUGGUCUGAGAGGAUGAUCAGCCACACUGGGACUGAGACACGGCCCAGACUCCUACGGGAGGCAGCAGUGGGGAAUAUUGGACAAUGGGCGAAAGCCUGAUCCAGCAAUGCCGCGUGAGUGAUGAAGGCCUUAGGGUUGUAAAAGCUCUUUUACCCGGGAUGAUAAUGACAGUACCGGGAGAAUAAGCUCCGGCUAACUCCGUGCCAGCAGCCGCGGU